UGGGGAAUAUUGCACAAUGGGCGCAAGCCUGAUGCAGCCAUGCCGCGUGUAUGAAGAAGGCCUUCGGGUUGUAAAGUACUUUCAGCGGGGAGGAAGGUGUUGAGGUUAAUAACCUCAGCAAUUGACGUUACCCGCAGAAGAAGCACCGGCUAACUCCGUGCCAGCGGCCGCGGUAAUACGGAGGGUGCAAGCGUUAAUCGGAAUUACUGGGCGUAAAGCGCACGCAGGCGGUCUGUCAAGUCGGAUGUGAAAUCCCCGGGCUCAACCUGGGAACUGCAUUCGAAACUGGCAGGCUAGAGUCUUGUAGAGGGGGGUAGAAUUCCAGGUGUAGCGGUGAAAUGCGUAGAGAUCUGGAGGAAUACCGGUGGCGAAGGCGGCCCCCUGGACAAAGACUGACGCUCAGGUGCGAAAGCGUGGGGAGCAAACA
rnacentral:rRNA from 1 species